rnacentral:rRNA from 1 species
UACGUAGGGUGCGAGCGUUAUUCGGAAUUACUGGGCGUAAAGCGUGCGCAGGCGGUUUUGUAAGUCAGAUGUGAAAUCCCCGGGCUCAACCUGGGAAUGGCAUUUGGGACUGCAAGGCUUGAGUGCGGCAGAGGAGACUGGAAUUCCUGGUGUAGCAGUGAAAUGCGUAGAUAUCAGGAAGAACACCUAUGGCGAAGGCAGCUCUCUGGGACGGUACUGACGCUGAGACGCGAAAGCGUGGGGAGCGAACAGG